CCUACGGGUGGCUGCAGUGGGGAAUAUUGCUCAAUGGGGGAAACCCUGAAGCAGCAACGCAGCGUGAAGGAUGAAGGCUCUCGGGGUGUAAACCUCUUUUGUUAGAGGAGAUAAUGACGGUAUCUGACGAAUAAGCUCUGGCUAACUCCGUGCCAGCAGCCGCGGUAAUACGGAGGGUGCAAGCGUUAUUCGGAUUUACUGGGCGUAAAGGGCGCGUAGGCGGGUUAGCAAGUCAGAUGUGAAAUCCUGCGGCUUAACCGUAGAACUGCAUUUGAAACUGUUAGUCUAGAGUAUAGGAGAGGUAGGUGGAAUUCUUGGUGUAGCGGUAAAAUGCGUAGAGAUCAAGAAGAACACUGAUUGCGAAGGCGGCCUACUGGAAUGUAACUGACGCUGAGGCGCGAAAGCGUGGGGAGCAAACAGGAUUAGAUACCCCAGUAGUC
rnacentral:rRNA from 1 species